CUCAGAAAUGAAUGCAUCAAUAGUACUAUUGACGGUGUCGUAGUGACUAGGCCUAUAUUCAAUUUCGGACUAUGUUAUAGAAUUUGAUUAUGAUGUUGCAGUAUCAUAGGAGAAGAAAUGUUUUUCCUGGAAUAGUAUGAGCCCAUAUGACAGUUAUAUCUAAGAAACAGCCUGACUGAAUCAUACUUUAUUUUUUUAGUAUGUAAGUAAAAACCAAG